GAGACUACGGAUAGUAAGCCGGUAAUUGAUAUUAGGCUCUUUUCGCCGAGGGAUCGGGUUAAGGGGAGGCUAAGAAAGUCGCAUAACAAUUUAAUCAAUCUAAUAAUCAAGGGUAGUAUGUAAGAUAGAGUGGAAUAGAUGAAAUUGUUAGUACCCAGCAGCAUCCAUCCAUCCAUCUAAUAAUCAACAUUUAUUUUGCAUGUUAAUAUUUUUAUCCUCAAAAUCCAAUUUAUUUAAUUUUAUUUUUCAAGUCUUAUUAUUU
rnacentral:lncRNA from 1 species